ACGCUGGGAUACUGGUCCUACUCUGAGCGGCCAGGAACGCGGGUUGAGGGCUCUUAAGCCGAGGGGUUGGGUACCUCGAGUUCCCCUACCGUCGUGCUCCCCAAAAGGACACAUUUGGGACGACGGGUGGGAAGUGAAAAGUGCCUUGUUGGUUCCCCUCUCUCGACCCUGAGGAUUCAUUCUCGGCUUAGCCGGCGCCGUCCACAGCGCACCCACGCGGCGGCGGGAAGCCGGGGACGCGAAUUAACCUCACCGAAUAUGGGACGCGCGGCCUUCUGCCCAGCGGUGCCGCCGGCUGUCCCGGACAUGUAGAGAUGUUUCCGACUUCCUGCGCGGGAUCCUUUAGGGUGGCCGUAGGAGAGUUUUUCACUCCGCAAGACCGGGCGGCUUGGCCGACCUGACGCUCCGCUGUGGCGCUCCGCCGCCCCCUUGGGGAGCUCUUGAUAAUUACUCUUUGCCGCUGUGCGGUGGGCAUUGGGGGCAGCUUUUUCUUGUGGACAGCGGUGAGAAGGCUAGAACGCUUAAUUAUGACUACUGAAUGGCCAAGAGUCGAGAAAAGAGACAACAUAAAGGGCAGCUUGACUCUAACUGGACUGACAAGGUGCGGCUUGUUUAGUGGGUCUGUGGCCAGUUCCCAUCCCGACUCCCUGCCUCGGAGUGGUGGCUGCUCUGCGAGCACCAAGGAGACAUCGAGCUUGGCAUGUGGCUCUAGUCUUAGUUGCAGCACGCAGGAUCUUUAGCUGCAGCAUGUGGGCUCUUAGUUACGACAUGUGGGAUCUAGUUCCCUGACCAGGGAUCCAAUCUGGGCCCCCUGCAUUGAGAGUUCGGCGUCUUAACAGCUGGACCACCUGGAACUUGUAAUUCCAUGAAGUCUGAAUUCCUCUAUUGAUGACAAGGUCUAUUCCUGUCCAUCAAAGUCACACUACACCCAAGCAGAUAAGUGUCUGCUCCAUAAAAACUAACUUCUUGGACUUCCCUGGUGGCGCAGUGGUUAAGAAUCCGCCUGCCAAUGCAGGGGACACGGGUUCGACCCCUGGUCCGGGAAGAUCCCACAUGCCGCGGGGCAACUAAGCCCGUGUGCCACAACUAUUGAGCCUGCGCUCUAGAGCCUGCGAGCCACAACUACUGAACCCACGUGCCACAACUACUGAAGCCCGCACGCCUAGAGCCUGUGCUCCACAAGAGAAGCCACUGCAAUGAGAAGCCAGCACACUGCAACAAAGAGUAGCCCCCGCUCAAUGCAACUAUAGAAAGCCCGCGCACAGCAACGAAGACCCAACACAGCCAAAAAACAAAUUAAUUAAUUAAUUUUAAAAAAAUUAUUAAAAAAAAAAAAAAAACUAACUUCUUACUAUCUCCACAAGCCAAAAUACCCUUUUUUACCUCUGACCUUGCUUCCUCCCUAAAAUGUCGUAAUUUCCCUAAAUAUUCCUUCGAAGCCCAGUUCUAGUCCCCGACACACUGAAGGGCACACAGGAGGGACUGAAAUCUUGCUUUAUUUGUUGAUUUAUCAAUUAAUUUAGGGGAGGCAAUUAAU